CGGCCUUGACAUACUAAGAACUUUCAGAGAUGGAUUGGUGCCUUCGGGAACUUAGAUACAGGUGCUGCAUGGCUGUCGUCAGCUCGUGUCGUGAGAUGUUGGGUUAAGUCCCGCAACGAGCGCAACCCUUUUCCUUAUUUGCCAGCGGGUCAUGCCGGGAACUUUAAGGAUACUGCCAGUGACAAACUGGAGGAAGGCGGGGACGACGUCAAGUCAUCAUGGCCCUUACGGCCAGGGCUACACACGUGCUACAAUGGUCGGUACAAAGGGUUGCUACCUCGCGAGAGGAUGCUAAUCUCAAAAAGCCGAUCGUAGUCCGGAUCGCAGUCUGCAACUCGACUGCGUGAAGUCGGAAUCGCUAGUAAUCGCGGAUCAGAAUGCCGCGGUGAAUACGUUCCCGGGCCUUGUACACACCGCCCGUCACACCAUGGGAGUUUGUUGCACCAGAAGUAGGUAGUCUAACCGCAAGGAGGACGCUUACCACGGUGUGGCCGAUGACUGGGGUGAAGUCGUAACAAGGUAGGCGUAGAUGA
rnacentral:rRNA from 1 species